UACAGAGGGUGCAAGCGUUGUUCGGAAUUACUGGGCGUAAAGGGCGCGUAGGCGGAUGUUUAAGUCAGUGGUGAAAGCCCAGGGCUCAACCUUGGAACUGCCAUUGAUACUGGACAUCUUGAGUGCGGGAGAGGUGAGUGGAACACCGAGUGUAGAGGUGAAAUUCGUAGAUAUUCGGUAGAACACCAGUGGCGAAGGCGACUCACUGGCCCGUAACUGACGCUGAUGCGCGAAAGCGUGGGGAGCAAACAGG
rnacentral:rRNA from 1 species